GCCCGCGUGGCGUAAUGGUAACGCGUUCGACUGUAAGUUGUUCUUAUUCAUAAAGUGGAUGCAAACAUCACUAACUCAAUCCUCAGUCUAAUCGAAAGAUUUGCGGGUUCGACCCCCGCCGUGGGUU